UGCAAUUCAAAGUAUUAAAUAUCCUUAAUUGUGCCGAACCAGCAAUAGGAACCACUGCAUAUGUUUUCUACAAGUGUUGUAAUUUUAUAAGAAUGAAUCGGGCAGAAUCCGGCAGGAAUCGAACACAGGCUUCCGCAAUGACUGCAGGACGAUUUUCCACACUGGUGAAUCGAAUUAUAAAAAUCGGUUUCGGAGCCAUCAUGCUCAAGGAAAAUAGAUAAUUGAGAAUUAUGCUACAGGAAACCUUGAAGGUAACAGUUACUAGGGGACAUAAAGUGGAAUAGUGAGAAUUCCAUGCCCAUAAAAAUAAUUUUUUUUUAAAAUACUUUGUUUAUCAUUUGAAAAAAAUUAUUAUUAAAAAUAAUAGAGAA